UACAGAGGUCUCAAGCGUUGUUCGGAUUCAUUGGGCGUAAAGGGUGUGUAGGUGGCGCGCUAAGUCGGGUGUGAAAUUUCGGAGCUUAACUCCGAAACUGCAUUCGAUACUGGCGUGCUUGAGGACUGGAGAGGAGACUGGAAUUCAUGGUGUAGCAGUGAAAUGCGUAGAGAUCAUGAGGAAGACCAGUGGCGAAGGCGGGUCUCUGGACAGUUCCUGACGCUGAGGAGCGAAAGCGUGGGGAGCGAACAGG
rnacentral:rRNA from 1 species